rnacentral:rRNA from 1 species
UGGGGAAUUUUGCACAAUCGGGGAAACCCUGAUGCAGCGACGCCGCGUGAUUUAGAAGGCCUUCGGGUUGUAAAAAUCUUUUCUAUGGGAAGAAAAUGACAGUAUCAUAGGAAUAAGGACCGGCUAAUUACGUGCCAGCAGCCGCGGUAAUACGUAAGGUCCGAGCGUUGUCCGGAAUCAUUGGGCGUAAAGGGUACGUAGGCGGGUAAGCAAGUUAGAAGUGAAAUCCUAUAGCUCAACUAUAGUAAGCUUUUAAAACUGCUCAUCUUGAGGUAUGGAAGGGAAAGUGGAAUUCCUAGUGUAGCGGUGAAAUGCGCAGAUAUUAGGAGGAAUACCGGUGGCGAAGGCGACUUUCUGGCCAUAACCUGACGCUGAGGUACGAAAGCGUGGGUAGCAAACAGG